GCCUGGCUGGCUCAUUCUGUAGAGCAUGUGACUCUUAAUCUUGGGAUCAUGAGUUUAAGCUUCAUGUUUGGCC
rnacentral:tRNA from 1 species